UACGAAGGGGGCUAGCGUUGUUCGGAAUUACUGGGCGUAAAGCGCGUGUAGGCGGGUCGUUAAGUCGGGGGUGAAAGCCCAGAGCUCAACUCUGGAACUGCCUUCGAUACUGGCGACCUGGACCCAAGGAGAGGCGAGUGGAAUUCCGAGUGUAGAGGUGAAAUUCGUAGAUAUUCGGAGGAACACCAGUGGCGAAGGCGACUCGCUGGACUUGUGGUGACGCUGAGACGCGAAAGCGUGGGGAGCAAACAGG
rnacentral:rRNA from 1 species